rnacentral:rRNA from 1 species
CACCGCGGUUAUACGAGAGGCCCUAGUUGAUGGACACGGCGUAAAGGGUGGUUAAGGUUCAAAAAUAAAUAAAGCCAAAAGACCUCUUGGCUGUCAUACGCCCCUGAGUGUCCGAAGCCCACACACGAAGGUAGCUUUAAUAUUAGUCCACCUGACCCCACGAAAGCUGAGAAA